UUUCCUUAGAAUGAGGCUUUUACAUCGGGAUGCAGGGUGGCGCUAAGAGAUGGGAUUUCAAGGGGUGGAUCAGAAUAUUAACCUUCCUCCGUUUUGAUUAUUAUAAAAAGAGAGAAACAGCAGAUGCAAUGGCUUCUGUACUCCUGAUUUGGCAUACCACUCCCCCAAGCUCCUGGAACAUCACUGCUGCACCCUGCCUUCUCAGCUCCCUCAAGGAACAGACUCCUGAGACCUCCAUGCCCAAGAUCUCCUGCUGCAUGUGACCCUGAUUCCUAACAUACCCCCUCCCCAAUUUGCCCCUUGUUCGCAUGGAGCUUUCUAGAGAAUUCGGCGCCGCCACCCCCCCCCCCAUUUGCUAUCCAUAAAUAGUCUUUUUAUAAUAAUCAAAAUGGAGGAAUGUAUGGUGAUAUUUUAAUUGUACUGAAAUGUGAUUUUAUUUGUAUGUUAAUAAAUAAAGCUGCCUGAGGGUCAGAGCUAAUAGCAAGCCAUAGCAGAGCUGGGCGUUCGUGGUGCACGCCUUUAAUUCCAGAACUUGGUAGGCAGAGCUGGGUAGAUCUCUCUGUGGUCAAGGAUACAGUCAGCAUUGGAGACACACGCCUUUAAGCUCAAUACCAUAGAAGACCUGGAGGGCUGUACAACAGACAGUGAUGAGGCAGUCAUGUGGUUGGUUUUACAACCAAUGAGAAGGCAGAACAGAAAGUCUAUAUAAAGACAAACAGACAGGAAGUAGCUCUCUUUUGGAGAGGUCUCUUGGCUGAAGAGGCUAGCUGCAGCAGGCUGGUAAGGCUCUUAGCUCUGAUCUCUUGGCUUUCUUCUUUGCA